rnacentral:rRNA from 1 species
AGAGUUUGAUCAUGGCUCAGAUUGAACGCUGGCGGCAGGCCUAACACAUGCAAGUCGAACGGUAACAGGAAGCAGCUUGCUGCUUCGCUGACGAGUGGCGGACGGGUGAGUAAUGUCUGGGAAACUGCCUGAUGGAGGGGGAUAACUACUGGAAACGGUGGCUAAUACCGCAUAACGUCGCAAGACCAAAGAGGGGGACCUUCGGGCCUCUUGCCAUCAGAUGUGCCCAGAUGGGAUUAGCUUGUUGGUGAGGUAACGGCUCACCAAGGCGACGAUCCCUAGCUGGUCUGAGAGGAUGACCAGCCACACUGGAACUGAGACACGGUCCAGACUCCUACGGGAGGCAGCAGUGGGGAAUAUUGCACAAUGGGCGCAAGCCUGAUGCAGCCAUGCCGCGUGUAUGAAGAAGGCCUUCGGGUUGUAAAGUACUUUCAGCGGGGAGGAAGGUGUUGUGGUUAAUAACCGCAGCAAUUGACGUUACCCGCAGAAGAAGCACCGGCUAACUCCGUGCCAGCAGCCGCGGUAAUACGGAGGGUGCAAGCGUUAAUCGGAAUUACUGGGCGUAAAGCGCACGCAGGCGGUCUGUCAAGUCGGAUGUGAAAUCCCCGGGCUCAACCUGGGAACUGCAUUCGAAACUGGCAGGCUUGAGUCUUGUAGAGGGGGGUAGAAUUCCAGGUGUAGCGGUGAAAUGCGUAGAGAUCUGGAGGAAUACCGGUGGCGAAGGCGGCCCCCUGGACAAAGACUGACGCUCAGGUGCGAAAGCGUGGGGAGCAAACAGGAUUAGAUACCCUGGUAGUCCACGCCGUAAACGAUGUCUACUUGGAGGUUGUGCCCUUGAGGCGUGGCUUCCGGAGCUAACGCGUUAAGUAGACCGCCUGGGGAGUACGGCCGCAAGGUUAAAACUCAAAUGAAUUGACGGGGGCCCGCACAAGCGGUGGAGCAUGUGGUUUAAUUCGAUGCAACGCGAAGAACCUUACCUGGUCUUGACAUCCACAGAACUUUCCAGAGAUGGACUGGUGCCUUCGGGAACUGUGAGACAGGUGCUGCAUGGCUGUCGUCAGCUCGUGUUGUGAAAUGUUGGGUUAAGUCCCGCAACGAGCGCAACCCUUAUCCUUUGUUGCCAGCGGUCCGGCCGGGAACUCAAAGGAGACUGCCAGUGAUAAACUGGAGGAAGGUGGGGAUGACGUCAAGUCAUCAUGGCCCUUACGACCAGGGCUACACACGUGCUACAAUGGCGCAUACAAAGAGAAGCGACCUCGCGAGAGCAAGCGGACCUCAUAAAGUGCGUCGUAGUCCGGAUUGGAGUCUGCAACUCGACUCCAUGAAGUCGGAAUCGCUAGUAAUCGUGGAUCAGAAUGCCACGGUGAAUACGUUCCCGGGCCUUGUACACACCGCCCGUCACACCAUGGGAGUGGGUUGCAAAAGAAGUAGGUAGCUUAACCUUCGGGAGGGCGCUUACCACUUUGUGAUUCAUGACUGGGGUGAAGUCGUAACAAGGUAACCGUAGGGGAACCUGCGGUUGGAUCACCU